CAAGCUUUUACAUCUCAACCAGCAACCUGUAAGCGCUCCAUUUGCUCCACAGUCUCCCCAAAGCUUGUUGGAUUAUAUUCACCUCUACUUCUAGCAGGGAGCUGGCACAAGGUCAUGUGUUGUACUUCCUGAGCUCUGGACCAUAGUCUGCUCCCAUCUGUGCAGCUCUGGACACAUCAGUUCACCUCUUGUGGGCCUCAGUUUCCACAGCUGUAAAAUGAGAAUCCUAAUACCUGUAUCCACAUGAAGUGACUGCAGUGAGGCUUCGAUGAGACUGACAGAGGUCUGACCGUGGACUUCAAGUGCCCAGCACGGUGCCUGGCAAAUAGCCCUCAGGGACGAUGAGCAAUUACUAAUCAAGAAAGCUGAGUCUCAGUGAGGCUGUUUUGAUGUGGUAACAGAGCAAGCAAGCCUCCACUUCAGCUCUCUGAUAGCUUGCCAUGUCUGUGAUCCUCUAAAGCAAGAUUUAAUCCAAAAGAUGUAAUAAUGAUUGGUUGAGGCGAAUCCCGACAGGGCCACAAAGACAUACGUAGUGGUGGCUAAGGAGUAUCCCCUGCCCUCGGCCGUUCCCUGACCCAGCGGUCCUAGCCCAGCCUGACGUGACUUUUCUGAGCAAUGCAUGUUGGAAGCUGUUGGAUUUCUGCCACACAGAGGGCUACAUUUAACCAACUAGAAUGAAGAGUCAGAGCUAGA